AUUGAACGCUGGCGGCAUGCCUUACACAUGCAAGUCGAACGGCAGCGGGGACUUCGGUCCGCCGGCGAGUGGCGAACGGGUGAGUAAUGUAUCGGAACGUACCUUUCAGUGGGGGAUAACGUAGCGAAAGUUACGCUAAUACCGCAUAUUCUGUGAGCAGGAAAGCAGGGGAUCGCAAGACCUUGCGCUGAUUGAGCGGCCGAUAUCAGAUUAGCUAGUUGGUGAGGUAAAGGCUCACCAAGGCGACGAUCUGUAGCGGGUCUGAGAGGAUGAUCCGCCACACUGGAAUUGAGAAACGGUCCAGACUCCUACGGGAGGCAGCAGUGGGGAAUUUUGGACAAUGGGGGCAACCCUGAUCCAGCCAUGCCGCGUGAGUGAAGAAGGCCUUCGGGUUGUAAAGCUCUUUCGGCCGGGAAGAAAUCGCAUGGGUUAAUACCCUGUGCGGAUGACGGUACCGGCAUAAGAAGCACCGGCUAACUACGUGCCAGCCGCCGCAGUAACAC
rnacentral:rRNA from 1 species